GCUCAAGAGACGGAGUCCGGUUGAGAUCGCCUCCAUUUUCCCACCAUGCCGUCCAUCUUGCCCACACUCGUGUUCUUGGCCGUCUCCCCAAGUGUCCUCUCACAGGUGGUUCUCACCCAGACAGGUCCUGUGGUGAAAAAACCAGGAGAAUCCCAUAAACUGACCUGUGCAGUCACGGGGUUUAAUCCUAACAGCUACUGGAUGUAUUGGGUCCGGCAGAAACCUGGAAAAGGAUUGGAAUGGUUAAUUCGCUACUAUGAUACCGCAAACACGAUCUAUUAUUCCCCUGCGAUCCAAGGACGAUUCUCCGCCUCCAAGGACAGCUCCAAUUUCUACCUGCAAAUGAACAACCUGAAAGCUGAGGACACGGCCGUGUAUUACUGUGCAAGAGACACAGUGACAAGAGCUUUGGCAGAAGUCAGACAAAAACCCUUCCCUGCAUGA